rnacentral:snoRNA from 1 species
AAGACUAUACUUUCAGGGAUCAUUCUAUAGUCGUUACUUGAGAAAUGUGUGUCUAAAGUGUGAGAUCCUCGUCUAUCCAUGAUGACGAUUCAAGAUAUUCCCGGUCAGAGCAUGAAUCUGGUGGUUAGAAAUGACAUUGCUCAUUUUUCUUCCACCUUUGAUGACUGUUCAUUGUUCUUCAAUGAACGUGGAUGAAGGGAAUAUGUUCUGAGUGGA